UCCCUUACGAAUUUGAAUAUAUCCUAAUAAUUUUCGCUCUAAUAAAGUUAAAAAAGCUACUCUAAUUAAAACACAUAAAAUCAUUAAAAUAAAAACUAAAUUAACUAAAAUUAAUUCUAUUAUUAUUUGUAUAUUUAUACUUAAAAAGAUUCUAAAUCUAACGCACUAAUCUGCCAAAAUAAUAAUUUUAUUCAAAUAUAAAAUUUUAAAUCUUAAAUUUGGUCCUUUCGUACUAAAAUUUAAUUUUUUAAUAAAGAUAGAAACCAACCUGGCUCACACCGGUUUAAACUCAGAUCAUGUAAAGUUUAAAUGGUCGAACAGACCAAAUAACUAAGCUUCUACACCUAAUUUUAACUUUAAUCCAACAUCGAGGUCGCAAUCUCUUUUUUCGAUAAGAACUCUAAAAAAAAUUACGCUGUUAUCCCUAAGGUAAUUUAUUCUUUUAAUCAUUUUUAUGGAUCAAAUAUUCAUAAAUUAAUGUAAUUUAAUAAAAAAAGUUAAUCUUAUUUUUCCAUCACCCCAAUGAAAUUUACUCCAAAAACUAAAUUAUUAAAAUUCUAAAAACUAAAUUUAUGUUGUAAAUUAAACUCUAUAGGGUCUUCUCGUCUUUUAUCAAAAUUUAAGCUUUUUAACUUAAAAAUAAAAUUUUUAUACAAUUAUUUAUAGAAAGCUAUCUUCUCAUCAAACCAUUCAUACAAGCUUUCAAUUAAAAAACUAAUGAUUAUGCUACCUUUGCACAGUCAAAAUACUGCGGCCCUUCAAAAAUUCAGUGGGCAGGCCCUACUUUAAAUUAAAUUCUAAAAGAGAUGUUUUUGUUAAACAGGCG
rnacentral:rRNA from 1 species